AUCCCAUUACGAAAUGAACACAGAAAAGGCAGGUCUGCAAUGCCAACAUCUAGUAUCUAUCCCAAAGACCAGGGAGAAAGGAAGGAAAGAUUCUGGUUCUGUCCUCUUCCCCAAGGCAAGGCUGGCUGCCCUACCAACAGAGGCAAAGAGAAGAGUGUGCAAGGCUGGCUGCCCUCCCAACAGAGGCAAAGAGGAGUGUGUGUUGAAAUAUCCAUUGAAUCCCUGAGACAACUGGAUCCUGGCCCAUUGAAUCAUAAACUCACUGGUAGUCUGUCAAGGAAAUGAGCUGAACAUGUCUGUGUACAGCUUUUGUGCCAUCCCUGGAUGAGCGAGCUGUCUGCCUCUAUGUUCUCCACAAAAUGGAAUAUAGCUGUACACCCAAGCCAAGUUAUGGAGGCUGGGAAGACCUAGAAUGUGGCAUCACUAUUUGCUUCGACAAUUCUGUGGAGAUAAACUUUCAGUAGACGUGGAGCAGAUUAUCACAGUUGAAUUGUGCUGAGAGAAGAGCUGAAAUGACUAAGCUCACAGGAAAACUACCAAAGGGCGUUACUGAAUGUCCAGUUUACAGUCUCCAAAGGGGAGCUGCCUCUGCUGGUGGUGAUGCAUGGAACAUGGCUUUAUUGUGUGAACCUUGGAAAUGGACACCAGAGAGUCCUGGACUUGUAGUCGGUGUAGCAGAAGUUGAUCUGGGGCCGAGGUCUUAAGAUUUCUGAGGCUCAAGACAUGAGUAAUAGAUUGCUAGUCUUUCCAUGGAUGAGAACCGGCAAAAUCUCUAAGUGAGAAAUCACAUCAUCUAUAGUUCAAAGCAGAGUUCCUAUUCCAAUGAGAAAGAAUACUCAUCAGAAGGUCAAGGCAUGCAACCAACCAAUCCAUACGAUGUGUUCCAAUAUGCUCAACUCUGCUCUCAAUGUUUUGCAGCAUGUCAGAAUGUAAACUUAACAGCAACCUCUGAGGUGUUAAAUACAGACAAGUCAAAGUAGAUUAAAUCUAUUUCAACAUAAAGAUUUGAACAUGGCACUCUGCCCCGGAAAUGCAUGUGACCCCCUCAAUAUGCUGCCUUUGCUGCACAACUGUCUUUUUGUACUCUUGUAAUGUUGAUGGCUUGUGCAUCAUCAAAACCAAACAAACGUCUGUUGGACUGACAGACGAUUAAGAGUCAAUGUCUGAGUGGAGGAUAAAUGUGAGAAACUCCACUAGGAGGAGACAACCUUUCCUCCAUCAAAAAGACAGCGCUAAGAAUCCUUACCAUUGUAAUCUGGUCCAUAGAGAGAGCAGCAUCCUUUCCCUAACGAUUACCCAUUUCCUAUUAGCAAAUGACUCCUGUGAUGCUUCCCCAGCUAAAAUAGGACCCAAAUUGGCUAAGUACCAUAGACAAUAUGUGCAAUUCUGUUUUUAAAAAUCACCAGAAGUAAAAGGGUCCAUUCAAAUAAAUGGAACAAGAAUGUCCUGAGCC
rnacentral:lncRNA from 1 species